rnacentral:tRNA from 1 species
GAAGGUAUAGCUCAAGUGGCAGAGCACAUGCUUAGCAUACACAAGGACCUGGGUUCAAUCCCCAGGGCCUUCU